AGCAGCCGCGGUAAUUCCAGCUCCAAUAGCGUGUAUUAAAGUUGUUGCAGUUAAAAGCUCGUAGUUGAAUUUCGGGAUCAAUAUAUCGGUCGUGCCUUGGUACGUACUGGUAUCAUUGGUUUCUCCUUUCUGACGAACCAUGAUGUCAUUAAUUUGGUGUUAUGGGAAGUUAGGACUGUUACUUUGAAAAAUUAGAGUGUUUAAAGCAGGCUUUAGCUUGAAUACAUUAGCAUGGAAUAAUGAAAUAGGACGUUCGAACCUAUUUUGUUGGUUUCUAGGAUCAACGUAAUGAUUAAUAGGGAUAGUUGGGGGCAUUAGUAUUCAAUUGUCAGAGGUGAAAUUCUUGGAUUUAUUGAAGACUAACUACUGCGAAAGCAUUUGCCAAGGAUGUUUUCAUUAAUCAAGAACGAAGUUAGGGAUCGAAGACGAUCAGAUACCGUCGUAGUCUUAACCAUAAACUAUGCCGACUAGGGAUCGGAUGAUGUUAAUUUUUAAUGUACUCAUUCGGCGUCCUUACGGG
rnacentral:misc_RNA from 1 species